UAGGGAAUCUUCCGCAAUGGGCGAAAGCCUGACGGAGCAACGCCGCGUGAGUGAUGAAGGUCUUCGGAUCGUAAAACUCUGUUAUUAGGGAAGAACAAAUGUGUAAGUAACUAUGCACGUCUUGACGGUACCUAAUCAGAAAGCCACGCCUAACUACGUGCCAGCAGCCGCGGUAAUACGUAGGUGGCAAGCGUUAUCCGGAAUUAUUGGGCGUAAAGCGCGCGUAGGCGGUUUUUUAAGUCUGAUGUGAAAGCCCACGGCUCAACCGUGGAGGGUCAUUGGAAACUGGAAAACUUGAGUGCAGAAGAGGAAAGUGGAAUUCGAUGUGUAGCGGUGAAAUGCGCAGAGAUAUGGAGGAACACCAGUGGCGAAGGCGACUUGCUGGUCUGUAACUGACGCUGAUGUGCGAAAGCGUGGGGAUCAAACAGG
rnacentral:rRNA from 1 species